GAGGAGGUUUCAGUUCUGGGAUCUGUAUUUCAGGGGUUGGGGUCCAUUCGAUUUCUUUUUAAUUACCUCUAUUCAGAAGCAGAAUUGAAAUUCUAAUUCAAGUAUUGUUGAGAGAAAAGUUAGCUAUUUUCAAAGAGGGUUUUAUAUUAUUGAAUUCAAAGUCACGAAUUCAUCUCUACUAAAUUAAACUAGAAGUGACCUCAGACUUUCCCAUGGGGAGGAGGAUAUAGUGGAACAGACAGUAGCUGACUCAAUAAAAGGGCAGUAUAGUAGAAUAGACAGUAGCUGACUCAAUAAAAGGGAAGUAUAGUAGAACAGACAGUAGCUGACUCAAUAAAAGGGCAGUAUAGUAGAACAGACAGUAUCUGACUCAAUAAAAGGGCAGUAUAGUAGAAUAGACAGUAGCUGACUCAAUAAAAGGGCAGUAUAGUGGAACAGACAGUAGCUGACUCAAUAAAAGGGCAGUAUAGUGGAACAGACAGUAGCUGACUCAAAGUCAAUAAAACGGCAGUAUAGUGGAACAGACAGUAGCCGAUUCAUGAUCUCCUGUUGGAACAUUUCCUCAUAGCAACCAGAAUGACCAAUCCAUGUAUCAGAAUACCUAGUUAGUCGCUGACUGUCUGCUUUUAGCCUGGUGUGGUUUUAGUGUGGGUAGCAGCUUACUUUACAGGCUUUUGACUCAAGGUAAUACUGAUCUGAGAACACCGUAAGUACAGGCUGAAACUGGUCUGUCUGUUGGCCACACUAUAGCUCUAGGUGUCUGAACUAGUGUUAUACUUUUCUGAGCAGACCCUAAUAAGCACUUACUUGGGGCCAAUGCCUCUUGGCUGUCCUCUUCCCCCCCGACAGACCUAAAAAUCAGACCAACUCACUGUUCCAAUAGAUUCCUAUCCCAGAUAGAUCCUCAGAACCAAUGGGAAAGUUGUAUUAUGUUAGGUGCAAUAUGUACCCCAAAGAAACUUGCCAGGGUUGAGUGGACAGUUAAAACUAAUGGUCAGUUUCACCCCUCAGUGUGGGUCCUUGUCAGGAAGAUGUAAAAUUUUAUUUUUCUGCUCGUUCCUCCUCAGUUAAAGGUGCAAGGGUUAGGUUAUGUUGCCCCGUCCAUCCUGACCUCAACCUCCGCUUUGUCCUAACGCUUCUCCAAGCAGGUCAAGGGUGAACUGUGGCACGCACACACACACACACACACACAGAUAAGAGAUGCGUGGAACUGAACUGGCAGCAACAGUGCCCAGUAUACCUCUUUGAGUACUGGCCGUUACCUCAGAAUAAACCUAAGCCUUGUUGGGGCAUAUUUUCUCAUAGUCUGGGAGCACACACACACACACACACACACACACACACACUUCCUGGCUCACCGACCACUUCCUGGGUGGGGAUAAGGGUUAUGGAAAGUAGGAUUUUGAAUGUUGGUCCCCAAAAUGUCCUCAAGUAUACUAAGAGAGUAUGCGUGACGCAUCUGUGGGGUCGGCCGGCUCUGAUAGCCCCGUUCAAACACACUACAGGCAGGUUGCUACAGACUGAUGAGGUCCACAUAUAUAUACCCUACUACUGAUGAGGUCCACGUAGAUAUACCCUACUACUGAUGAGGUCCACGUAGAUAUACCCUACUACUGAUGAGGUCCACGUAGAUAUACCCUACUACUGAUGAGGUCCACGUAGAUAUACCCUACUACUGAUGAGGUCCACGUAGAUAUACCCUACUACUGAUGAGGUCCACGUAGAUAUACCCUACUACUGAUGAGGUCCACAUAGAUAUAGCCUACUGCUACUACAGAUGAGGACCACAUAGAUAUACGCUACUACAGAUGAGGGCCACAUAGAUAUACCCUACUACUGAUGAGGUCCACGUAGAUAUACACUACUACUGAUGAGGUCCACGUAGAUAUACACUACUACUGAUGAGGUCCACGUAGAUAUACACUACUACUGAUGAGGUCCACGUAGAUAU